GGGUUGUGAGGUUAAGCGACUAAGCGUACACGGUGGAUGCCCUGGCAGUCAGAGGCGAUGAAGGGCGUGCUAAUCUGCGAUAAGCGCCGGUAAGGUGAUAUGAACCGUUAUAACCGGCGAUACCCGAAUGGGGAAACCCAGUGUGAUUCGUCACACUAUCAUUAACUGAAUCCAUAGGUUAAUGAGGCGAACCGGGGGAACUGAAACAUCUAAGUACCCCGAGGAAAAGAAAUCAACCGAGAUUCCCCCAGUAGCGGCGAGCGAACGGGGAGGAGCCCAGAGCCUGAAUCAGCAUGUGUGUUAGUGGAAGCGUCUGGAAAGGCGCGCGAUACAGGGUGACAGCCCCGUACACAAAAGCGCAUGUGCUGUGAGCUCGAUGAGUAGGGCGGGACACGUGGUAUCCUGUCUGAAUAUGGGGGGACCAUCCUCCAAGGCUAAAUACUCCUGACUGACCGAUAGUGAACCAGUACCGUGAGGGAAAGGCGAAAAGAACCCCGGCGAGGGGAGUGAAAAAGAACCUGAAACCGUGUACGUACAAGCAGUGGGAGCACCCUUGGGUGUGACUGCGUACCUUUUGUAUAAUGGGUCAGCGACUUAUAUUCUGUAGCAAGGUUAACCGUAUAGGGGAGCCGUAGGGAAACCGAGUCUUAACCGGGCGUUAAGUUGCAGGGUAUAGACCCGAAACCCGGUGAUCUAGCCAUGGGCAGGUUGAAGGUUGGGUAACACUAACUGGAGGACCGAACCGACUAAUGUUGAAAAAUUAGCGGAUGACCUGUGGCUGGGGGUGAAAGGCCAAUCAAACCGGGAGAUAGCUGGUUCUCCCCGAAAGCUAUUUAGGUAGCGCCUCGUGAAUUCAUCUCCGGGGGUAGAGCACUGUUUCGGCUAGGGGGCCAUCCCGGCUUACCAACCCGAUGCAAACUGCGAAUACCGGAGAAUGUUAUCACGGGAGACACACGGCGGGUGCUAACGUCCGUCGUGAAGAGGGAAACAACCCAGACCGCCAGCUAAGGUCCCAAAGUCAUGGUUAAGUGGGAAACGAUGUGGGAAGGCCCAGACAGCCAGGAUGUUGGCUUAGAAGCAGCCAUCAUUUAAAGAAAGCGUAAUAGCUCACUGGUCGAGUCGGCCUGCGCGGAAGAUGUAACGGGGCUAAACCAUGCACCGAAGCUGCGGCAGCGA
rnacentral:rRNA from 1 species